CUGUGUCACCAGAACCUGCAUGGAAAAGGGUGCAAGACUUUUACUGGAGAAAGAAUCCAUCCUGUUCGAUCUGAAAUGAUGAGAUACCAAGAUCUGUAUUCCAAUUUCCCCCAGAGGGUAGAAACAAAUUCGCUUGUGAAGACCUGCUAAUUUAUUAAAAGCAACUUCAUGACAUAGGA